GGUUGACCUCGGAUCAGGUAGGGAUACCCAC
rnacentral:rRNA from 1 species